AGUGAACGCUGGCGGUAGGCCUAACACAUGCAAGUCGAACGGCAGCACAGUAAGAGCUUGCUCUUACGGGUGGCGAGUGGCGGGCGGGUGAGGAAUACAUCGGAAUCUACUUUUUCGUGGGGGAUAACGUAGGGAAACUUACGCUAAUACCGCAUACGACCUACGGGUGAAGGCAGGGGAUCUUCGGACCUUUCGCGAUUGAAUGAGCCGAUGUCGGAUUAGCUAGUUGGCGGGGUAAAGGCCCACCAAGGCGACGAUCCGUAGCUGGUCUGAGAGGAUGAUCAGCCACACUGGAACUGAGACACGGUCCAGACUCCUACGGGAGGCAGCAGUGGGGAAUAUUGGACAAUGGGCGCAAGCCUGAUCCAGCAAUACCGCGUGGGUGAAGAAGGCCUUCGGGUUGUAAAGCCCUUUUGUUGGGAAAGAAAAGCAGCAGGUUAAUACCCCGCUGUUCUGACGGUACCCAAAGAAUAAGCACCGGCUAACUUCGUG
rnacentral:rRNA from 1 species